UCUUCUCUCCAGCAGCACUGAGCUCCCAGCCAAACUUCAGCCAUGAAGAUUCUCUACCUGCUCUUUGCUCUCUUUUUCCUGGUGCUGCAAAGCUCUCCAGGAUUCACCCAGUUCAUCAAUGACCCCUUUGCUUGUAGACGUGCUCGGGGAACCUGCCGCAGUUCAUGUUUCCGCAAUUUCAUACCAAUUGGAAGGUGUGGUUUUCGGCUGCGUUGCUGUAGAAGGCGCUGGAGAGGGUGAGGGAUGGCAGCAGAGAUUGUCAAUGCAGGAUCUCUGGGAAUCUGGCAGACAACGCCUUGCUUCUAAAAUCCUUGGAUGCUCUUCAUCUGGGCUGCAAAGAAUCUCGCAAGCUGGAAAAAAUCCACAAGGGAGCCCUUGUGUCACCCCUAAUAGCUUGUUCUUCUCUUUUUAAUAAAAGUAGCUGCUGGUUGUGGUGUAUUGCAAA